rnacentral:rRNA from 1 species
AUGACCUGGCGGCAGGCUUACACAUGCAAGUCGAGCGGUAACAGGAGAAGCUUGCUUCUCGCUGACGAGCGGCGGACGGGUGAGUAAUACUUAGGAAUCUACCUAGUAGUGGGGGAUAGCACGGGGAAACUCAUAUUAAUACCGCAUACGACCUACGGGAGAAAGGGGGCAGUUUACUGCUCUCGCUAUUAGAUGAGCCUAAGUCGGAUUAGCUAGAUGGUGGGGUAAAGGCCUACCAUGGCGACGAUCUGUAGCUGGUCUGAGAGGAUGAUCAGCCACACCGGGACUGAGACACGGCCCGGACUCCUACGGGAGGCAGCAGUGGGGAAUAUUGGACAAUGGGGGAAACCCUGAUCCAGCCAUGCCGCGUGUGUGAAGAAGGCCUUUUGGUUGUAAAGCACUUUAAGCAGUGAAGAAGACUCCAUGGUUAAUACCCAUGGACGAUGACAUUAGCUGCAGAAUAAGCACCGGCUAACUCUGUGCCAGCAGCCGCGGUAAU